rnacentral:rRNA from 1 species
UGUGUGUUAGUGGAAGCGUCUGGAAAGGCGCGCGAUACAGGGUGACAGCCCCGUACACAAAAAUGCACAUGCUGUGAGCUCGAUGAGUAGGGCGGGACACGUGGUAUCCUGUCUGAAUAUGGGGGGACCAUCCUCCAAGGCUAAAUACUCCUGACUGACCGAUAGUGAACCAGUACCGUGAGGGAAAGGCGAAAAGAACCCCGGCGAGGGGAGUGAAAAAGAACCUGAAACCGUGUACGUACAAGCAGUGGGAGCACGCUUAGGCGUGUGACUGCGUACCUUUUGUAUAAUGGGUCAGCGACUUAUAUUCUGUAGCAAGGUUAACCGAAUAGGGGAGCCGAAGGGAAACCGAGUCUUAACUGGGCGUUAAGUUGCAGGGUAUAGACCCGAAACCCGGUGAUCUAGCCAUGGGCAGGUUGAAGGUUGGGUAACACUAACUGGAGGACCGAACCGACUAAUGUUGAAAAAUUAGCGGAUGACUUGUGGCUGGGGGUGAAAGGCCAAUCAAACCGGGAGAUAGCUGGUUCUCCCCGAAAGCUAUUUAGGUAGCGCCUCGUGAAUUCAUCUCCGGGGGUAGAGCACUGUUUCGGCAAGGGGGUCAUCCCGACUUACCAACCCGAUGCAAACUGCGAAUACCGGAGAAUGUUAUCACGGGAGACACACGGCGGGUGCUAACGUCCGUCGUGAAGAGGGAAACAACCCAGACCGCCAGCUAAGGUCCCAAAGUCAUGGUUAAGUGGGAAACGAUGUGGGAAGGCCCAGACAGCCAGGAUGUUGGCUUAGAAGCAGCCAUCAUUUAAAGAAAGCGUAAUAGCUCACUGGUCGAGUCGGCCUGCGCGGAAGAUGUAACGGGGCUAAACCAUGCACCGAAGCUGCGGCAGCGACACUGUGUGUUGUUGGGUAGGGGAGCGUUCUGUAAGCCUGUGAAGGUGUACUG